GAUGAACGCUGGCGGCGUGCCUAAUACAUGCAAGUCGAGCGAACGGACGAGAAGCUUGCUUCUCUGAUGUUAGCGGCGGACGGGUGAGUAACACGUGGAUAACCUACCUAUAAGACUGGGAUAACUUCGGGAAACCGGAGCUAAUACCGGAUGAUAUUUUGAACCUCAUGGUUCAAAAGUGAAAGACGGUCUUUCUGUCACUUAUUGAUGGAUCCGCGCUGCAUUAGCUAGUUGGUAAGGUAACGGCUUACCAAGGCAACGAUGCAUAGCCGACCUGAGAGGGUGAUCGGCCACCCUGGAACUGAGACACGGUCCAGACUCCUACGGGAGGCAGCAGUAGGGAAUCUUCCGCAAUGGGCGAAAGCCUGACGGAGCAACGCCGCGUGAGUGAUGAAGGUCUUCGGAUCGUAAAACUCUGUUAUUAGGGAAGAACAUAUGUGUAAGUAACUGUGAACAUCUUGACGGUACCUAAUCAGAAAGCCACGGCUAACUACGUG
rnacentral:rRNA from 1 species